UACGUAGGGGGCAAGCGUUGUCCGGAAUUACUGGGCGUAAAGCGUGCGCAGGCGGUUAUGCAAGACAGAGGUGAAAUCCCCGGGCUCAACCUGGGAACUGCCUUUGUGACUGCAUAGCUAGAGUACGGUAGAGGGGGAUGGAAUUCCGCGUGUAGCAGUGAAAUGCGUAGAUAUCGUUUGGAACGCCAAUGGUGAAAACAGGUAACUGGGAGUGUGCCGACGCUGAGACACGAAAGCUAGGGGAGCGAACGGG
rnacentral:rRNA from 1 species